rnacentral:rRNA from 1 species
GACGAACGCUGGCGGCGUGCCUAAUACAUGCAAGUCGAGCGCAGGAAGCCGUCUGAACCCUUCGGGGGGACGACGGUGGAAUGAGCGGCGGACGGGUGAGUAACACGUAAAGAACCUGCCCAUAGGUCAGGGAUAACCACGAGAAAUCGGGGCUAAUACCGGAUGUGUCAUCGGACCGCAUGGUCCGCUGAUGAAAGGCGCUCCGGCGUCGCCCAUGGAUGGCUUUGCGGUGCAUUAGCUAGUUGGUGGGGCAACGGCCCACCGAGGCGACGAUGCAUAGCCGACCUGAGAGGGUGAUCGGCCACACGGGGACUGAGACACGGCCCAGACUCCUACGGGAGGCAGCAGUAGGGAAUCUUCCACAAUGGACGAAAGUCUGAUGGAGCAACGCGGCGUGAACGAUGAAGGCUUUCGGGUCGUAAAGUUCUGUUGUAAGGGAAGAACAAGGGCCGCAGGCAAUGGCGGCACCUUGACGGUACCUUGCGAGAAAGCCACGGCUAACUACGUGCCAGCCGCCGCGGUAA